CUGCGCGUUGACGUCACAGAUCAGAGUUUAAUCCCAUACAAAGCAACGCAUGAAUCAAUUGACAAAGCUGCAGAGGUACAGAGAUAUAUAUUCAUUACCUGUAACAGGAAAAAUAGGAAAAGAAACACAAAGAAAAAAAGGCAAAGACGCAUCUUUGGAGAGAGCUUUAUGCCAAAAAGCAAAACAGUGGUAGCUUUCUGGAUUUUUAGCGCUUACACAAAAUGUUAUACUGAGUGGGUGUUUCUUCAAUUUAAUAUAUUCAAUUAAGGCGUUCCGUUCUUCGACCAAUUAGAAACUCCCGUAGGGACUCAGAGAAACUUGAGAAGUCUCCUAAUUUACAGCGAAGUUCCAAGGGCAUCUGGUUUCUGUCGAGAGACAAGGGCGGACCACUUAAUCUUGGGCCUUGAGAUCAGAAGAGCA